GGGGGUGCACCGGUUUCGACGAUUGUGAAUAAGGCACUUACUGCAUGUGGGAGUGAAGGUUCCCUAAACUGACAAAACAAUAACUGCAAUUUUCGAAAGAAAAGAAGAAGAAGUCGUAGAGACUGCUUCUGCAGAAGCUCUCGCUGCGUAAGUAGCUUGAGCCGGACUUCGUGGGGUGCUGUUCCUAACUUUGCGAUGUUCCGUCACAAACAGGGACUUGCUGCUUGAUGUUUCUGGUCUUCAGGCGGGACUCUUUAAUCAGAAUACGGAGAAGACGCUUGUUAUGCUGCUACCUGCUCCCGACAACUACCUCGCAUAACUAAACAUGUAGGUGUAUUUGGCUUACACUUUCGGACGGGGGUUCAAUUCCCCCCAUCUCCA
rnacentral:sRNA from 1 species